GAUGAACGCUGGCGGCGUGCCUAAUACAUGCAAGUCGAGCGAACAGAUGAGGAGCUUGCUCCUCUGACGUUAGCGGCGGACGGGUGAGUAACACGUGGAUAACCUACCUAUAAGACUGGGAUAACUUCGGGAAACCGGAGCUAAUACCGGAUAAUAUAUUGAACCGCAUGGUUCAAUAGUGAAAGACGGUUUUGCUGUCACUUAUAGAUGGAUCCGCGCCGCAUUAGCAAGUUGGUAAGGUAACGGCUUACCAAGGCAACGAUGCGUAGCCGACCUGAGAGGGUGAUCGGCCACACUGGAACUGAGACACGGUCCAGACUCCUACGGGAGGCAGCAGUAGGGAAUCUUCCGCAAAGGGCGAAAGCCUGACGGAGCAACGCCGCGUGAGUGAUGAAGGUCUUCGGAUCGUAAAACUCUGUUAUUAGGGAAGAACAAAUGUGUAAGUAACUAUGCACGUCUUGACGGUACCUAAUCAGAAAGCCACGGCUAACUACGUG
rnacentral:rRNA from 1 species